rnacentral:rRNA from 1 species
GACGAACGCUGGCGGCGUGCUUAACACAUGCAAGUCGAACGGAAAGGCCCUGCUUGCAGGGUACUCGAGUGGCGAACGGGUGAGUAACACGUGGGUGAUCUGCCCUGCACUUCGGGAUAAGCCUGGGCAACUGGGUCUAAUACCGGAUAGGAGCCAUUUUUAGUGUGAUGGUUGGAAAGUUUUUUCGGUGUAGGAUGAGCUCGCGGCCUAUCAGCUUGUUGGUGGGGUAGUGGCCUACCAAGGCGGCGACGGGUAGCCGGCCUGAGGGGGUGGACGGCCGCCUUGGGACUUAGGUCCGGCCCAGACGCCUACGGGUGGCAGACGUGGGGAAUAUUGCACAAUCGGCGCCAGCCUGGUGCAGCGACGCCGCGUGGGGGAUAGCGGCCUUCGGGUUGUAAAAUCCUUUCGCUAGGGACGAAGCUUUUUGUGACGGUACCUAGAUAAGAAGCACCGGCUAACUACGUG